AAGACAAUAUUAAAGAAGUCAAGAUUAAAAGCAAGAAUAUCAGUAAAUUUCUGGCACAUCUUAAUACUAACAUUGAAUAUAAAUGGCCUAAACACUCCACUUAAAAGAUGGAGAAUGGCAAAAUGGAUAAUUUAGCAAAAGGAUGCUUCCUGUGCUUCCUCUAUAGAUAUUCCUAGGCCAGCUUUUCUUUUAUUCUCUAUGCAACAGACUUUGGGAUCUAAAUCAAGAACUCAAAUUUUUAAAAAUUAAGAAACUCUUUUAUAAUGCUAGGGCUAGGAAAUGCUGAGAUAGAGAAGGCAAUAGCUAAUCUCUGAAAAAGCUUAUACAGAAGUCAGAAAAAUUAAAACCUGAUAUAGAUGCUCCACAACCUCCACCUCCCGGGUUCAAGCGAUUCUCCUGCCUCAGUCUCCUCAGUAGCUGGGAUUACAGGUGUGCACCACCAUGCUCAGCUAAUUUGUGUAUUUUUUAGUAGAGACGGGGUUUCACUAUAUUGGCCAGGCUGGUCUCGAACUCCUGACCUAGUGAUCUACCAGCCUCGGCCUCCCAAAGUGUUGGGAUCUUCUGUAGAUUUCCACUGUGUCCUCUGGAUCUUGGCUUUGAGUCAUCCUUUCUUUUUCAUAAAAGGUAGCAUGUGUUGCUGAUGAGUAGUUUUAAUAGCCCCUUCUUCCUGCCUGGAUAAAUUCAGGGUUAAGAGAGUCUUCUUCUUCUUCAUAUUGUCCCUACCUUGUGUAGUUCUGGUAAAUUAGAUGUAAGUACAAAUGUGCUGACAAUUAUUCAAAAAGUUUUAUUUUCCUGAUAUAGGUGCCAGUUACCACUUAUUCACUACUUCUUCCCUCAUCUUCUGUUUCUAAUGGAUAAGAGGAGCUGGUGGUAGAAUGCCAUUUUGAGACCUUGUAGGGUGACCAACCCUCCUGGUAAAACCAGGGACUGCGGAGUUUUCCUAGACAUGUGACCUUUCAUUUUAAAACAGAGAAAGCCCUAGGCAACAUGGAAGAAGUUGGCUAUCUUACCAAAGACUGAAGUGAAAAUGAAGAUGAAAGUUACUCAAGAUGGCAGAAGAGAAAGAAGGGCAGUUCCUGAUGGCAUCUUAGAGCUACCAUAUAAAUUAUGGGCUUUUUAUUAGACAAGAGAAAUAAACUUUUACGUAUCAACUCAUUAAAUUUGGCUUUUGUACAAAUACUGAAACAUGCUCUUUAACUGCAUUCACAACCUGGAUGUACUCUAGUCCAUGGGAACCACAUCAUAGUCCAUUUGAAUGGUGUCGCCUGAAGCUGUGCAGCUAGCUACACGUGGUGUCCCUGACCAAGACUACACUGUCUUAAACCAUAAAACCUUUAAUGCUCAAAUGAUGGUUCCACCUUACAGACAAGCUGUUUCUCAGAUGUAUUCUCUCUCUCAAACAUCUCCAGAUCAUAUACCCUUUUCUUUCUUCCAUGAGGUCUCUUAGAAAAAAAGAGUCCCUCUCUCUUUUAAAGUGUAUGUCUCUAAGUGUGAGGUUGAUUUCUUUGCUUCCCACCUCCUUGGGGUCUUAAUCCACUUGAUUUGGCUGCAAAUAAUUUACUUUUCUUAUUAGCUUUUUGAGAUUGUAACAAUAAAUUUGGUGGGACUCUCACAUAAAAUUAUGAUCCCUGAGUUCUAUUAAACCACUUUAUCUCCAUGUUUAAAUACUGUAGCAAUAAACAUGGACUCUUGAGUAAAAUAUUAAUGCGUUUGUUCACCUGAAUUAUUUACAUUUUAGCUGGGUACAAUUUUCUUAAUAAUAUCCAAAUAU
rnacentral:lncRNA from 10 species